AUAUACAUAUGUACAUGAAAAAACACAUCUUUAUACACCACAGUCUCUAGUUAAAGUGAUCGUGAAACUUCGCGUUUCAAAGCACUGUUUGAAAAUGAAAUUACUCGUGAAUAUCCUGUUAGUAAUUACGCUAUCGAUGCCUAUUGUGAUUCUACCUGCAAUUUGUCAGGAAAAUCCAAUAAUGAUUUUACCAUUCCCUCAUCGUAUGAUGAUAUCGGCGCCGUAUAGAAGUGGUUGCCCACCAGACCAGAGGAAAGAUAAGCACGGAAAAUGUCGUUUGAGCAUUUAACACGCAAAGAAGAAGCCCUUGCCCGAGAGGUUACAGAAGAGUUAGCAGCAAGUGUCGUCGAAUCAUUUAAAAUAUAGAAAUAUAAGAAGAAUGAAAUUUCUUGUGAGGAUAUUGCUAAUAAUUGGAAUAUUGGCGAUUAUAAUUUCAUCUGUGAAACUUGUCAAAUGUAUUGAAGACGUAUUCCACAAAGCAUCAUAAUUGCUGCAAAUAAAUUUCUUUCUUGCCCAAAUGGUCUACAAAGCAUAAGCACAAUAAAUGUCGCCGAGUAUAAUUGCCAACAUACAGAGAUAUAAGGUAAUUAUUAAAAAUGUAAGAAAUAAAAUAUCCAAAUAUCUAGCUAUAUAAUAGAAUUCACGUUAAUCUUCUGUACUUUUUAUCUAUUUGUACUUUUCCUUUAUUUUCGUAUUCAGAUGUAAUUAGCUUACAUAUCAGCAUAUAAUUAUUUUCAUUUUGUUUGCUAUAUUUUCGUCUAUAUAGAGAUGUUAUUCUACUAUUUCAAAUACAUUAAAGUAAAUAAUUGUCAAGGUUGGAUAAGUUAAUCCUUUCUGUUAAUUAUGUUAAAUUAAGUUAAUGAGCUUCAGUUAAAAUUAACUUAAUUAUGUUGCGUAAACUAAAACUAACCUAAAUU